UGAAGACCUUGACUUGGCUCCAGCAAAGAGGGAGCUGGGGAAAGGGGAACCACUUGGGAUACAAGCGCCGAUGCCAGAGCCAAGUCUCGUUGCUUUUUGGCUGAUCUAGUGCUAAAUGCAAGAUCUGAGUCCCGAGGCUUGUGUUUAACAGCUGCUCUAGGCCCUGGUCCAGGCAUCAAUUUAUUGCCAGUCCAGCCAAGAGAUCAAAAAUACAUCUUUCCCUAUCAAAACUGCUGCUAUUUGGAGUCUGUAUUUCACCGUGCUCAGACUGGACUCUGGUUUGAGGGAGACAAGCUGAGCAGGGACAGACUCGCUUGCUUAGGAUUCGAACUGAGCUUUUUCCGAUGGAUUUAGAGAUGAUCCUGGACUUCCAUGGGACCUUGAUAAGGAAUCAUCUUGUCUGCUCGUGGGACGGUAAAAUCUGUAUAGCAGCGCUUGCUAGGAUCAUCAGUUUGCGAUCGGAAAUAACAUGCAACAAAUGACUCCGAGCUGCAGAACAUUAUAUAUAUUUAUAUGUAUGCAUUCACACACAAGCUCAUAUGUAUGGGUGCAUGUAUGUGCACACAUACAUCCCUUUACAUGUAAAAUACACUGUUUCCACAUGUGUGUAUAUUUAUUUACCCUCCUCAUUCAUCUAUAUGUGUAUAUAUACACAUACAUACACACGUCAGCGCCUAUGGAAUGCAAAUGUCUUUCUUGCUCUUCCACCUGCCAUUUCUCUUGAUCUGUAAAUAAGCUAACAUAUAUUAUUUUU